GUUAAAACCACUUGUCGCGGUUUUUUAAUGAGCAGUCCCAAUAUUUCUACAGUAGUCAAAUUCUGUCACUAUAUACGAGAUGGCGCGUUUGUAAAUAGCACAGGAAAAAUUUGACUUUACUGUUUAACAAAAAUUACUUGAAAAAACUUAUACAUACGUCUUGAUAGACAUGUUCUCAUUUCCUCUUCUUCAGUGGCAAAACCUUGAAAAACUUC
rnacentral:misc_RNA from 1 species